UUUUGUAAAACGAAAAACAAUAAUUUUUUUUUUCAAAGUUAGGAGUGAGACUCGAACCCGAGACCUCUAGGUGAGAAUAGGAAGAUUAUGUCAUUUGAGCUAUAGCUCGUUGGC